UACGGAGGGUGCGAGCGUUAAUCGGAAUUACUGGGCGUAAAGCGCGCGUAGGCGGAUCGUUAAGUCGGGGGUGAAAUCCUGGAGCUCAACUCCAGAACUGCCUUUGAUACUGGCGAUCUUGAGUCCGGGAGAGGUGAGUGGAACUCCGAGUGUAGAGGUGAAAUUCGUAGAUAUUCGGAAGAACACCAGUGGCGAAGGCGGCUCACUGGCCCGGUACUGACGCUGAGGUGCGAAAGCGUGGGGAGCAAACCGG
rnacentral:rRNA from 1 species